rnacentral:rRNA from 1 species
GACGAACGCUGGCGGCGUGCUUAACACAUGCAAGUCGAACGGAAAGGCCCUGCUUUUGUGGGGUGCUCGAGUGGCGAACGGGUGAGUAACACGUGAGUAACCUGCCCUUGACUUUGGGAUAACUUCAGGAAACUGGGGCUAAUACCGGAUAGGAGCUCCUGCUGCAUGGUGGGGGUUGGAAAGUUUCGGCGGUUGGGGAUGGACUCGCGGCUUAUCAGCUUGUUGGUGGGGUAGUGGCUUACCAAGGCUUUGACGGGUAGCCGGCCUGAGAGGGUGACCGGCCACAUUGGGACUGAGAUACGGCCCAGACUCCUACGGGAGGCAGCAGUGGGGAAUAUUGCACAAUGGGCGGAAGCCUGAUGCAGCAACGCCGCGUGCGGGAUGACGGCCUUCGGGUGGUAAACCGCUUUCGCCUGUGACGAAGCGUGAGUGGCGGUAAUGGGUAAAGAAGCACCGGCUAACUACGU